UACGUAGGCAGCAAGCGUUGUUCGGAAUUACUGGGCGUAAAGAGUGUGUAGGCGGUGCUCUAAGUUCGGUGUGAAAUCUCCCGCUUAACUGGGAGGGUGCGCCGGAAACUGGAGUGCUCGAGCGCGGGAGAGGAAAGCGGAAUUCCUGGUGUAGCGGUGAAAUGCGUAGAUAUCAGGAGGAACACCUGUGGUGUAGACGGCUUUCUGGACCGUAGCUGACGCUGAGACACGAAAAGCGUGGGUAGCAAACAGG
rnacentral:rRNA from 1 species